rnacentral:rRNA from 1 species
AUUGAACGCUGGCGGCAGGCUUAACACAUGCAAGUCGAGCGGGGUGAUGGUGCUUGCACUAUCACUUAGCGGCGGACGGGUGAGUAAUGCUUAGGAAUCUGCCUAUUAGUGGGGGACAACAUCUCGAAAGGGAUGCUAAUACCGCAUACGUCCUACGGGAGAAAGCAGGGGAUCACUUGUGACCUUGCGCUAAUAGAUGAGCCUAAGUGGGAUUAGCUAGUUGGUGGGGUAAAGGCCUACCAAGGCGACGAUCUGUAGCGGGUCUGAGAGGAUGAUCCGCCACACUGGGACUGAGACCCGGCCCAGACUCCUACGGGAGGCAGCAGUGGGGAAUAUUGGACAAUGGGGGGAACCCUGAUCCAGCCAUGCCGCGUGUGUGAAGAAGGCCUUAUGGUUGUAAAGCACUUUAAGCGAGGAGGAGGCUCUUUUGGUUAAUACCCAAGAUGAGUGGACGUUACUCGCAGAAUAAGCACCGGCUAACUCUGUGCCAGCCGCCGCAGUAA